GCUUUUUAAACCAGGGCACCGUCUGAGAGUCGUUUUUGAUUAGAUGUUGACCUCAGAAAUAUGCUCGCAUCAUUUUGCAAACAUCUCCCAGCACCGCAGAGAUCAACUCCGUGGAGGAAGGACGCUGCGUGGACAGUGGCCAGGACCGGGUGUGUGGUGGCUGCUGCUGUGGGGGGACAAGGGCCUUCCCGCGGGCUCCUGGGAAGCUGCUAGCCUGAAUCCGUGAGGAUGCCAAGCCUGUCGCACCUCUGGACACACGUGUGACCAGGGCCAGCACUGGGGAGGAUGAUAGUGGUGGUCAUCUCUGUCAUCGUCCACACUGGCCACCGUAACGAAGUGCUCACUCUGGAUCUUUCCAUUUCCAAAGGAGUCGCAUUAAGCAACCUCAUCCCGUCCUCACAGCAUCCUGCCAGAGUUGGGCCUGGAGGGCAUCUUUGCACACGUGGCGUGACUGGGCCAGCUCUCACUGGCCACCACUCAGGUGCCUGGGGACAACCAAACCCAUCAG
rnacentral:lncRNA from 1 species